CUUCGAGUUCACUUCAGAGUGAAUAACGAAACCUAAGAAUUUGUAUGAAAUUGCGGACGAAGGAUGAAGAAGCCCAUGGAUUGAACAUCAACACAGGUAGAUAGUUAUGCUGAAAUAUCUGAAUUUAUAACUACCGAGUUCACUGAAUAUAUGCAUUGGUGUAAACAAAUUGAUGUCUCUGUAGUCUUUAUAAGUAAUUGGGUAGACUCUUUGAGCUAUGAUGUCUCGUGGUAAACGAGAACCCUCAGGGAAGAUAUAGGGUUGAUCAUCAAAGCAGCCCAAAAUCGGGGUAUAUGCGGAAAAACGCCUAAUCCGAAAACGCCUGAAAAUUUUCGGCGGCCUAGGCGCCGCCUUUUAUAACUCAGCGUAGAUGUACAACUUUGUCAUGGUUUGCGGUGUCAUUGGUUUCUUUUUUGGUAAAGUUUGUGGAUUCAAGUGCCACAUCAUGGUAAUGAAUGUAGCAUGUAAUUGUCAGGCAGUGUCGAUCAUAUGACAUAUUAGUUGUUUUUCAUCAGUCCUAAAAUCAAGGGUAGUAUUUAUGGGAAGGGACGGCGCAUGAUACUUGUAUAUGGAGGUUGGAUGGGAAGGGAUGGUGUGCAUGAUUUUAGAGUAUUGAACAAGGCAGUGCGAGAUCCAUCAUUCAAUUUUCCAUUACCUCCUCCAGGAAUUACGGACGGGCAUGGAGAUGCAUUUCCUUUAGAUCCAAUUUACAGCAGUUAUAAUUUACUUGAUACCGAAAAUGGUGAGCCAUUCACAGCAAUGGGAAGGCAAAAACCGGAGCUGAAUUAUCCCAAGAUGAUGCAGUUUUCACCGCUAUAGUUUCUGCACUGGUGGAAAAGUAUGUGAAAGUAGUGGUGAUUAAGGAGAUAAAAGGGUCACAUUAUAUGUUGCAGCUUAAGAAUUGGGUAAGGAUGAAUUAGCGGCGGCAGAUAAAUACGAAGACGAAGAAGAAGAAUCCAACGAGAAAGUCAUUAACUUCUUUUCGCCUAAUAAAUAAUACUUAAAACAACACUAUGUGAUUAGCUUCCAUUUCUCAGCUACCACACCUGCCGUUGCUGAGGUUCGCAUCGGUUAGAUUUACUAUUAACUAGUCUUCAUAGAUUACAACUUCAUGACAACUGAAUUUUUAACUAGUCUUUAAGAAUUACAACUUCAUGACAAAUUUAUUCCUUCAAUCACCAUCUGUAGGUGAGAUUGGGGAACAGAUGAUGCCUGAAAACAACUAUUUAACAGUUUGUAAUGCUAAGUGGGAUUUUUUCUCUUCCACUUGGUCGGUUUUAAUGAAUGCUUUU